AUUGAACGCUGGCGGCAUGCCUUACACAUGCAAGUCGAGCGGCAGCGCGGGGGCAACCCUCGGCGGCGAGCGGCGGACGGGUGAGUAAUACAUCGGAACGUGUCCUUUUGUGGGGGAUAACCAGUCGAAAGACUGGCUAAUACCGCAUGAGAUCUCACGAUGAAAGCGAGGGACCGCAAGGCCUCGCGCGAUUGGAGCGGCCGAUGUCGGAUUAGCUAGUGGCGGGGUAAAGACCCACCAAGGCUACGAUCCGUAGCUGGUUUGAGAGAACGACCAGCCACACUGGGACUGAGACGCGGCCCAGACUCCUACGGGGAGGCAGCAGGUGGGGUAAUUUUGGACAAGUGGGGGCAACCCUGAUCCAGCCAUGCCGCGUGUGUAGAAGAAGGCCG
rnacentral:rRNA from 1 species